rnacentral:rRNA from 1 species
GACGAACGCUGGCGGCGUGCUUAACACAUGCAAGUCGAACGGUAAGGCCCCUCGGGGCACACGAGUGGCGAACGGGGGAGUAACACGUGGGUGAUCUGCCCUGCACUUCGGGAUAAGCCCGGGAAACUGGGUCUAAUACCGGAUAGGACCACUGCCUGCAUGGGUGGUGGUGGAAAGCUUUUGCGGUGUUGGAUGGGCCCGCGGCCUAUCAGCUUGUUGGUGGGGUGAUGGCCUACCAAGGCGACGACGGGUAGCCGGCCGGAGAGGGGGACCAGCCACAAUGGGACUGAGAUACGGCCCAGACUCCUACGGGAGGCAGCAGUGGGGAAUAUUGCACAAUGGGCGCAAGCCUGAUGCAGCGACGCCGCGUGAGGGAUGACGGCCUUCGGGUUGUAAACCUCUUUCAGCACCGACGAAGCGCAAGUGACGGUAGGUGCAGAAGAAGGACCGGCCAACUACGUGCCAGCCGCCGCAGUAA